rnacentral:rRNA from 1 species
GCAAGUCUGGUGCCAGCAGCCGCGGUAAUUCCAGCUCCAAUAGCGUAUAUUAAAGUUGUUGCAGUUAAAAAGCUCGUAGUUGAAUUUCAGGAUCAAAGGAUCGGUCAUGCCUUGGUAUGUACUGGUUUUAUUGGUUCUCACCUUCUAAAGAACCAUGAUGUCAUUCAUUUGAUGUUAUGGGGAAUUAGGACUGUUACCUUGAAAAAAUUAGAGUGUUUAAAGCAAGCUUACGCUUGAAUACAUUAGCAUGGAAUAAUGAAAUAGGACAUCAGAUUCUAUUUUGUUGGUUUCUAGGAUCGAUGUAAUGAUUAAUAGGGAUAGUUGGGGGCAUUAGUAUUCAAUUGUCAGAGGUGAAAUUCUUGGAUUUAUUGAAGACUGACUACUGCGAAAGCAUUUGCCAAGGAUGUUUUCAUUAAUCAAGAACGAAAGUUAGGGGAUCGAAGACGAUCAGAUACCGUCGUAGUCUUAACCAUAAACUAUGCCGACUAGGGAUCGGAUGAUGUUAAUUUUUUAAUGACUCAUUCGGCGCCUUACGGGAAAC